GGCUGCGUGGCGAGCACAGAGCGAACGAUUCUUUCGCCUUUUACUAAAGAAUACCGUGCGCUCGUCACAUUAAGCAGCAUAUAUUAAUUUUUUGAGGGUGCCUUCCUAAUAAGGUAG